GAAUCAUGACUUAAGUACUUGUUUGAUGUGUUGUUGAAUAUCAGCGAGGCUGAUGUGUAUCUUUUGUUGGUGUUAUUUAGGAGAUGAACAAGAUAGAGGCUUACAGGCAAACAAAACGUGAUUCCUGGACCCAGGAGGUUCUGGAAAUCUACAAGAAACGUUUUAUGGUACCUCACCUUACUACGAUACUGAAAAUUAUGAGUAUUAUUUAAUAGAACAAAGAAGGUAGCUAAGCUUAUAUAUAUGUUCAUUUCGCAGUGAACAUGAUCGAAGCACUCACUUCACAUGCAAGUUCAUGGUUUAGUGGUGUGGUGUAGUUGUACAAAUAAGAUCCAUGUGAAGGGUCAUCUGAAAUUUGGCGAGGGAGGUGGUUCUUGCUGGAGAUUAUAUAUUUUUAAGUUUUAACUGUUAAAUGUAUAAAUAAAUGGUUGAUAAUGUAAAGACAAAGAACUCGUUUUAGCUAGCCAGCUUAUUUUGAUGCUGUUUAUCAUGUCUUUCCUUUUGAAGGAUUCAAUUGCAUUUAGUAGUAACUUUUGUAAUGUGCAUGUUUAAGCUUCUGAAAGUUGCUCUCAGCCAGAUUUGCAGAACCAGAGGAAAUACUGCCUAUGGCAUGGUUUUAUUAUAUGCAGUACAAUUUUUGUAAUAUUAUAAAAAACAGGAACUAGGAAUUACAUCAAUCAACAUUAUAAGAAGGUUUUUUACCCAUCUCUGUAUUUUCUGUGUUAC
rnacentral:lncRNA from 1 species